GGUGUGUGGGGGCCAUGCGGGAUUAAAUUAGGCACACAGGGGCUUAUGGGAACCGAAGGACAGCGCAGGCACUGAUACCACACAGCUCACCUGAGCGAGCGUGUCCUUGAGAGAUAGGAGUCUGUAAUCCCUGUGCCUCCGCUGGGAACGCCGGGAAUGCGCCGUGAAUUCAUGCAUCAGGCUUAAGGUCACACUCGCUCACUCCAGUCAAUGCUGGAUUUGCUGUAUGUGCAUCUACAUGCACAAGUGAAGUGACUGACAGAACUAGCCUUCCUGUGCUCCCCUGGGCGAGGAGGAAACUUUGGGGCCGAAGCGAUUGCUGCCGUUUGAAGCCGCCGGGCCCUCAUUCCCAUCGCCGGGCUUCAAAGACGAUCUGGCCACAGAUGCACCGUUAACCUGGAGAUUUAAACAAGGAAGCAGAAGCGUCAGAAAACCGUCCGUGUCUCUUUCAGACGCGACACCUGAGCAGAAGGUCACCAAGCAGAUGAACUGAAGAGGCAGGCCGUCCUCAUCCCAGCAUCUCUCCAUCACCGCCUGUCGAUUCUACCUAUAUUGUGUCCCACUUCAUAAUGGCUUCCAAGAGUAUUCAUUUGCUGAAGAGUCUCACAUACCUGGGAUUCGUGAGAGCGUCACUUCAGAUUCACUCUUUCUUCGGCACUCAUUCUGCACUUUAUUACACUGAAACGCUUCUGACCCUGGCUAUAAUUCCCAUUCUAUUUCAAGGAGAGCAUUGCAAUAAAGCACAAAUAUGGGGGGGAGUGAAAUCCAGUGGGGUCCUGGAUUGUGAAUGUCAGAGCGAGCAAACAGAGGGGGAUGGGCUGGAGAGAAGAAAGAGAAAAACCUAAAGAACAGAG
ensembl:lncRNA